rnacentral:rRNA from 1 species
UGGGGAAUUUUGCACAAUGGGGGCAACCCUGAUGCAGCGACGCCGCGUGAUUUAGAAGGCCUUCGGGUUGUAAAAAUCUUUUGUAUGGGAAGAAAAUGACAGUACCAUACGAAUAAAGACCGGCUAAUUACGUGCCAGCAGCCGCGGUAAUACGUAAGGUCCGAGCGUUGUCCGGAAUCAUUGGGCGUAAAGGGUACGUAGGCGGAUAAGCAAGUUAGAAGUGAAAUCCUAUAGCUCAACUAUAGUAAGCUUUUAAAACUGCUCAUCUUGAGGUAUGGAAGGGAAAGUGGAAUUCCUAGUGUAGCGGUGAAAUGCGCAGAUAUUAGGAGGAAUACCGGUGGCGAAGGCGACUUUCUGGCCAUAAACUGACGCUGAGGUACGAAAGCGUGGGUAGCAAACAGG